rnacentral:rRNA from 1 species
AUGUUGUCGCUCUGCUUGAGUCAUCCAUAUCCACAUUACGAGCCCGAGACUUCCAUCACAACAAACUAUAUGUAUCCAGGUAGUGUCCAAUAUGUACACACAGGCUCCUCUCACAGGCCGACUAAGCUGAUUGUAACUGAAUGUGUGUGUGUGGCCGUGAAGCAGACUUUAUCUUGGUCUGAGUAUCAGUUCCCUUCUCCACAUUACGAGCCCGAGACUUCCAUCACAACAAACUAUAUGUAUCCAGGUAGUGUCCAAUAUGUACACACAGGCUCCUCUCACAGGCCGACUAAGCUGAUUGUAACUGAAUGUGUGAGUGUGGCCGUGAAGCAGACUUUAUCUUGGUCUGAGUAUCAUUUCCCUUCAAUGGUACAAUUUUGGAUACUAUUUUCUUCUAGAUGUAUAGGUUUCUGCUGGUCCCAUUGGCUGCUACAUUUUAGUGAUACAAUAGCUCAAUGUCAUGCUCACCAAUUAUUCUGUAAAAAUGAAAAAUCGACUUGA